AGAUAUUUUCUUCUCUCUCUACCACGUUUCCACCGUUGUAAUAGUACCAUGCCCUUCUUCAAACCAGACUCAUCUUAUGAGAAAAGCUGAUGAGUGAUUCUCUUCUAAUCUGUGAAUCAUUCAAAAUGAAAAACCAUUCGAUCAUUCUCUUCGCCGAUCGCGCUCGUGCUUCGCUUGUCGUCGCCAAACACACGUUCUGUGACCUAACGUGGAGAAUGAGGAAGCUAUAGAAUAGAGACGGAUCUGCCAAGGUUGUUCUAUUGCAUGAUUGAAGCAUCCGCAAGAAAAGCUCCUUUUUUUGUUAUUAUUGGCAAUCUGAUACUGAUUUUAUGUGCCAAUAGUUCACAAAAAUUGUAAGUGCUGCACCAUGCCUUGCCAUUGCUCUUUUCAGUUGCAUUAUGCACUAUGAUUAUUUUUACCUUUGAAACGAUAUUCUAUUCUAUACAGUAAGCCUUCUGAGUCCAGAAGAUAAUAUCCUUAAUUACCAGUGUAAUAUUGUUUGCUCUAGUGGCACUUGACUGGGAUGAUAGGGGAGAUACAGUUUAGUCCCACUUGACAUGUGGAUAUGUGAUUAACAUUAUAUGCAGAAUCUUUAGAUAUUGCAAGUACAAAUACGUAAAUUUGUUAGAUUGUGAAAAUUAGAAUUAUGUGCUAUCAGCCAUAAGGAAAGUCUAGUUGUUUGAUUCAGAAAGAUGAUUUACCUUUUUAAGUGUAAAUUUAGGUCUGCUUCUCUGAAUUUCAAUUUUCUUGUUAUGCAGUUGAUAAGUUUAUGUUUCUGUUUCAUGUUUAAGCUUUGCAUUAAGCAGGCACAUGGUGUUGCAGAAUACAUUGGUUUGUAUGAUUUGGGGAUAUUGAUUUCCUCUUCAUUGUUAGCAAUACUUUUUUAUAAUUCAUUUUGAAGAAUCAUCAGUCAUACUUAUGUGUCACUUACUUUCUGACCUACAUAGUUCCCAAUGUGUUUUGGAUUACUUAUUAUAUGUAUAGGUGUAGGUGGUUGUGUUCUGAAUUGGAUUUAAUUGGGCACGAAAUAUGUAUUUAGAGUUUAUAGCAAAAAACACCAGGCUCAAUUGUUGAUAUUUUUAUUGCUUAAACUUUACAAGGGCAAUCAUUAUGUCUAAUCCUUAACAGUAAUCAUAAGCUUCUUGAUAGAUAAUCUCGUACCAUACAUGCAUUAUAGAGUUGAAUGGAACAAAUGCGGUUGAGGAACUACAAGACCCAACUCGUGGAAAGUCUGACCAUUCUAGGCAGAAGUUGUAACAGUUGCUUCUUGUCACAAAAUGACAAAUCCCCGUUUACUGAACAAUUUUUUGCUAAUGCAGCUGCAAUCUGGCACAGAGAUUAAGUUUUUAGUGUCUUGUGAAAUUGAAAACAAAAAAUAUUGACUUGAUUUAUUAUCAGUUUGAGGGAAUACCCGAGUUUCAUUACUUUGGCUGAUGGUUCACUGUAUUGAGUCUGUGGCUGACUUAGCUGGAGACUGAUUGGUGGACGUAAUUCAUAUUCAUUUCUGACCAUGUAAGAAGGACUGGAUGCCACAUUUUCUUCACCUGUACUCCUGCUUCCGAAAACCUAAAAGCCAAAUCUUCUGUUUAGGUUUAUCUAAUAAAGGAAACUUUAAGCCUUUAGCUUAGAUAAUUAGAACUAAGCUCAAUAAAUGAGGAAAAUAUGUUUGACAUGGCCCUAUCCACAUGAAGUGUCAGUUUAUGUACUGACUUGUUCAUUGUACAAGCCUUUGUUAGUCUUAGGCAUGCGUUUAUGUAAAGAUGAAAUAAUAGUUUUUUGAAUUAUAGUGUGCUGGAUCAUUUACCUUCUUCUGUAGCUCUGCAUUUUCCUUUUGAAUCUGGUCCAUUUUUUGAUAGAGUUCAACAUUGUCCUGAUGAAUGAGAUUUCCCUACAAUGGCAUUAAUGACAAUUGGUCAGAAUUUUUAGGAAAACCUUAGUAAAUAUCGGGAAGAAUGAAACGAGACUCCUAAAAAACCUUUUGGCGCAGUUCUUUAAUCUCACUUGUUAAAAUUUGAUCCUGGAGGGAAAUAGAUGAUAAUGCAAGUUAUAAAUUUUCCAUAAAAGGAUGAAAUCUUAAAGGGAAGAGGUUUAAUUUGAACUGAACCAUCAUACCUUUUUCAUGCGAACACCCUUUAGACUCAUCUCCAGUUGGUUUUCCAGAUUUUGUAGUUCUUUGAUACCCAAACCCGUAAGUUCUUCACCCAUUAAUUGCCUGCUAUUGCCAAAAGAAACAAAAAUUGAAAUGCUUUCUCAAUGUUAGAUUGGUUUAUCACUUAGCAGAAAAAAUAUCGUGAGUUUCUGAAAUUAGUUUUUUAGCAUUUAUGUAAUUUGUGUAAGAAACUAAGCUGUCCAUUAGCACUUUAUAAAAAUAUCAAUAAGUUUUUCAAGAUGGUAUCACGUUGUUAACUGAUAUAAAACUCUACAGAGUCUGUAGAACAAAUUUGUUUGAUUUACCAUACGAUUGUUUCCGGUGAUGAGCUAUUGAAUCAACCUUUUUGGGUCUUGUAACAUCUUCAUUUCAUACAGACCAGGGGUGCCGUAAGCGUUUGACAUGGACAGAUUGACAUACUAACAAAUGACAAAUAUGUAAAUUACUUUUUAAUAUAUUUAAGUUCAUUCUCUGGAAAUGGUUGGAGAGAGAAAAAGAAGUAAAGGUGGAUUCAAUUUUCUUUUUUGGAUCUUGUAAUGGAGAUUAAGAAAGGCGGAUGAUAAAAUUUGCCAUUUUCCUUUUCCCUAUUUUAUGCCCUUAGUUUUUUUUUCCUUCCCGAAAGACGCGUUGUAGAAUUUGGAUUUGUAAAGUGAUGUAACGCGUUGAAGAAUUGAAGAAAGGUGCCUUUGUAAAUUUAACCCACUAGUUUAAAUCAAUCGUUGAUAGAUAUUCAUUACUUGGUCACUUCACAUAUCUCUUUACUGGAGUCAACUCUGAUGAAAUAACCUGUUCGAUUGCAUAUCUAUGGAUUGCUUAUAUAGUGCAUUUAUGCAACUAAUGGGUGUUAGUUUAUUUAUAUUUUUACCUGUGGCAUUCUUGCAAAUACUGAAGCUGUUUCCUCAAGUUUGCUGCUUCUGUCUGCCAAAACUAGCAAGAAGAGAAAUACAGAUAUCAAUUAAACAGUUAUUACUUAAGGAGAUUAUUUUAAAUCUAAGAAUUGCCGGCUAGACAAUUUGAGGACUAACAUUGUUAAUUUAGAGUUGAAAACCAAUGUGAGAAUGCUUUUUAAGUCUAAAAUUAUUGCUGAUAUGGUCCUGUACAUUAUUAUUCUGCUGCAUGUAGUGUUGUUUGUUCUAACCUUGUAUUUGAUAAUCUCCCUAAGUAUAUUGUUUCACUAAUAGUAGACUUCAGUUAGGUUAUUAAGUUACAUUUUCAUGUUCAAGGAAGAUGAGCUUUGUGAAGUUAGUUUGUACCUGUCAGUUAUCUUAUGUUGGUUUGUAUUUUUCUUGGAUAAUUUUAGUUUCUUAAAUUUUCUGCCAAUUUCUCAUAUUGCCUAUAAUAUCUGUUAUUGUCCUCUUUACAUCAUCAUUCCUUUGUUCGUCAUAAUAAGUUGGUGAACUAGGGUUCGCCAGUAACGAUUCAUUCCUUUGUUCGCAAUUAUGAUCCAGUCUAGCAAUUGGUAUCAAAGCUGCAUUUCGAACUUAUGGGUAUUGCAAACAAAUAAAGAUUUUAAGCCUUUAUGGUUUGUAUGAGAAAUGGGCACAAGAUUGAAAUCGGUGGAUAGAUGUUUUGAGGAAGAAUGCAUAUCGGGGAAAGAUAGGAAGGAGCGACAGAUCCACUGCAAGGUGCAAGAGGUCCGACUCAAGGAAGUUGAGGAAAUGGUUGAAUGAUUGAUAUUCUUGUUGUUCAAAUUGUAGCGAGCGGGCAUCGAACUACGCAGAAUGUCACAUCUCAGAAUGAGGAGUCCACGACAAUUGUUUAGGGAUCAAUAGAGAAAACUUCAACUUUAGAUUCCCAUUUCGUAAUGUUGGGAGAAGACGCAUUCAGGUGGACCAGUGGGCUGGGAGUUGGAACGGUAAUUUUGCAUCAAAGAAGCAACAAGUGAAAGCAAGCUCUAUGGUUGCGCUAGAGGGUUGAGCUUUGGGUUGGUUUCAUGGUGGGGUAAUUACAACCCACAUACUUUUUGGGAGCAAUUCAAGGCAACGCUAUAAAGAGAUUCUAACCCUUGAUAAAAAAUCCCUUUUGAAAUCUGAUAGGCAGGCACCCAGAUUUUAUUUAAACUGUAAAGACUUCCAAGACAGGUUCUUGGAUGUUCACCAAGAAAAACCAGACAGCUUUAUUAACAAUGAAACAAACACAAUAAUCCAAACUGUUACACUAUCCUUGGUCUUUCGAGAGGAUCAGACUCUCCCUAGCCUUCCCUUUACAAACUUCCUAAAAAAUUGCUAAAAACAACUGUCUACAAAGUAUGAGACAACAAAACCUAUCCAUAGACAGUUGUCCCUUUUAUUUUUCCUAAUAUAAACAUUUCCUUUGAAUCUAUCAAAAUCUUUCUAUAUCUGCUGCAAAUAGAGGUGGUUGUAGAUAUGGUUGAAAAUUUUCUCAGAUAUCCAGAGCUUUUGUAGGGAAAUUGAGCAACAUUUUAUGUGUAUUUUCUUGAACUGAUUAAAAGAGGAGGUGCAAACAGAGGUGAGACUUUGUGAUCUGUGGUCUCUCAAAUUGAUAGAGAAGGCAGUGAUUACAACCCGCAUACUUCUUGGGAGCAAUUCAAGGCAACGCUAUAAAGAGAUUCUAACCCUUCUUGAUAAAAAAAUCCCUUUUGAAAUCUCAUAGGUACCCAGAUUUUAUUAAAACUGUAAAGACUUCCAAGACAGGUUCUUGGAUGUUCACCCAGAAAAACCAGACAGCUUUAUUAAUAAUGAAAUAAGCACAGUAAUCCAAACUGUUACACUAUCCCUGGUCUUUCGAGAGGAUCAGACUCUCCCUAGCCUUCCCUUUACAAAACUUCCUAAAAAACUGCUAAAAACAAUUGUCUACACAGACUUUAUAAAAGUAUGAGACAACAAAACCUACCAUAGACAAUUGUCCCUUUUAUUUCUCCUAAUAUAAACAUUUCCUUUGAACCUAUCAAAAUCUUUCUAUAUCUGUUACAAAUAGAGGUGGUUGUAGAUAUGGUUGAAAAUUUUCUAAGAUAUCCAGAGCUUUUAUAGGGAAAUUGAGCAACAUUUUAUGUGUAUUUUCUUGAACUGAUUAAAAGAGGAGGUGCAAACAGAAGUGGGACUUUGUGAUGUGUGGUCUCUCAAAUUGAUAGAGAAGGCAGUGAUGGUAGACAAGAAUCAAGUAUUGGCAAAAGAGGUUGACAUGAAAAGUGAAGUGACGUACUCUAAAAGUGGGGUGAAAUUGUGAGAUCAAGUACUGUACUUA